rnacentral:rRNA from 1 species
AAAAACAUGUCUUUUUGUUAAUGAUUUAAAGUCGGGCCUGCCCAAUGAUUGUUAAAUGGCUGCAGUAUUUUGACUGUACAAAGGUAGCAUAAUCAUUAGUUUCUUAAUUAGGAGCUGGUAUGAAUGGCCUGAUGAGAGACCAACUGUCUCUAGGUUAUUUUUAUAGAAUUUUAUUUUUGAGUGAAAAAGCUUAAAUUUUAUAGAAAGACGAGAAGACCCUAUAGAGUUUGAUAGUAGGUUUUGCCUUUUUAGUAGGAGGUUUUUUUUAUUUGAGGCAAAUACUGCUAUUUUGUUGGGGUGACAUAAAAAUUGAGUAAACUUUUUAUUAUUGGGACAUUGAUUUAUGGUUGUUUGAUCCUUAUUUUUGGAUUAUAAGACUAAAUUACCUUAGGGAUAACAGCGUAAUUUUCCUUGAAAGUUCGUAUUGAUAGGGAAGUUUGCGACCUCGAUGUUGGAUUAAAAUUCGCUUUUGGUGUAGCAGCUGAAUUGCUGGGUCUGUUCGACCUUUAAAAUUUUACAUGAUCU